rnacentral:rRNA from 1 species
GACGAACGCUGGCGGCGUGCCUAAUACAUGCACGUCGAACGCAGUGGGGACGGGUGAGUCACACGUGGGUAACCUCCCCUCAGAGGGGAUAACACUUGGAAACAGGUGCUAAACCGAUACUGAUGGAUGGACCCGCGGUGCAUUAGCUAGUUGGUGAGGUAACGGCUCACCAAGGCCACGAUGCAUAGCCUACCAGAGAGGGUAAACCGCAAACCGGGGGCGUAGACACGGCCCAGACUCCUACGGGAGGCAGCAGGAGGGAAUCUUCGGCAAUGGACGAAAGUCUGACCGAGCAACGCCGCGGGAGUGAAGAAGGUUUUCGGAUCGUAAAACUCUGUUGUUAGGGAAGCGGUAUCGAACCAGAAAGCCACGGCUAAGUACGUGCCAGCAGCUGCGGUAAGAC